CCCAGGAUCUACAUGCCAGACGUUUGAUCUAUCCCUGGAGUGAAAACUUACGGAGCCUUGACGGAGAGUUUGUGGAAUAUCCUGAGAGCAAGAGAGCAUGUCUUGACGUGGGUGAAUUGGAGACGGAUGGGGGUCAGGGCUAACCGGCCCCUUUAUCUGUAAUAAAUGAAUAGUAAAAAUGUUAAAUUGAUUAUAACAUGUUUUACACUGUAUGUACUAAAUAUAAUGAAUUAAAUAAAUUGUUUUAAAGAGGUAUCUCGCCUUUAACGAAGGGGCUCUGUCUUUUAGAUCUAUCAUCAUGCAUGUCUCUGAGAAAAAUCAUUUCGGAAAAGAUGUGUGUGCGGGCGUCUGCGUGCGAGUGUAGGUGUGUGUGUGUUUCAAAACAAAAGGGGGUGGAGGUGUGUGUUCAACAAUGCCAUGGCAUUUGCACCCAAGGCUCUAUCUCUCUCCACCUGUGGUUUUGGGGUCUCUAAACAUUCCGAGGUCCUGCCACCCGAAAAAAACGUCAUCCCCGCUCUGUAAGAUCAUUACAGAAUAUCUCUCCUUUGAGCCAAGACCGCGGAGCGAGGCUAGUGAAACAGAUACUAUCCCCUCUGUACGAAUGGCCAAAAGCUUAACUCCAGACACCAGGCCAACAGCCCAGAACAGCUAAAAGAUCAUCCGUGAAUCCGUCCUAAUGGAGCUUUCUGAAGGGUAUCCAUCCAUCCUUUACGCAGUUGCUCCGGGGAAUAAAUGAUCUGGAACAGCCUUCGUUAGAAGUGUGUUCAGAGGAGCAACACGCAUGCAGCCAGUCCCCAUCACAUUAUUGUAGACCUGACAUACCGCAUUAUGUACUCUGAACGACUAUGGCGGAGAAGAUGACAUAGAUGCUAUUCUCCCAUUCUGUACGAACGUUUUCUCAAACACACCGAGAACCGAGGAUUUAAACAUCCCGUCAACUCCCCCCCCUCGCUCCAUAUUCCAGACCCAAACAAGCAAUGCACAACUCGUGCGCAAGUACAUUGCGCAGAAUCACCCCAGACCAAAAAGUGUUACUGGGCAGGGAACUUACUGCUUCAAGAAACGGCGCUCCAUGGAUACGACUCCAACGAGACAUGCCUGGCAGAAUCUGGAAUACCUGGUGAAAAAAGUCAAGAGCCCCCGGUUUCUGCGAUUCGUCAGAAUAGCCCUCGUCAAAAAAGCAGAGGUAAUUUAAUUAUGUAUUGUUAAUAUGUAGCAUUAUAUCUGAAAUGUAUUUGACAUUUUGUAUAAUUUUAAAGGUAAUCAGAACAGAAGCCAAAUUA